rnacentral:rRNA from 1 species
UCCGGUUGAUCCUGCCGGACCCUACUGCUAUCGGGGUGGGACUAAGACAUGCAAGUUGAGCGUUUCUAAGCUAUGGUAGAGACGCAGCAUACGGCUCAGUAACACGUGGCUAACCUACCCUUAGGACAGGGACAACCCCGGGAAACUGGGGCUAAUACCUGAUGUGUGAGGAGGCCUGGAAUGGUUCUUCGCUGAAAGGGCGUUGAAACCAUGCUUUUUGGCGUCGCCUAAGGAUGGGGCCGCGCCCGAUCAGGUUGUUGGUGAGGUGACGGCCCACCAAGCCUAUAACCGGUACGGGCCGUGAGAGCGGGAGCCCGGAGAUGGGCACUGAGACAAGGGCCCAGGCCCUACGGGGCGCAGCAGUCGCGAAAACUCCGCAAUGCGCGAAAGCGUGACGGGGCUACCCCGAGUGCCGUCCGCUGAGGAUGGCUUUUCCUUGGUGUAAUGAGCCAGGGGAAUAAGGAGAGGGCAAGACUGGUGUCAGCCGCCGCGGUAAUACCAGCUCUCCGAGUGGUAGGGAUAAUUAUUGGGCUUAAAGCGUUCGUAGCCGGCUUAGCAAGUCUCCUGUUAAAUUCAGCGACCUAAUCGUUGAGCCGCGGGAGAUACUACUAGGCUAGGAGGCGGGAGAGGCCGACGGUAUUCUCGGGGUAGGGGUGAAAUCCUAUAAUCCCGGGAGGACCACCAGUGGCGAAGGCUGUCGGCUAGAACGCGCUCGACGGUGAGGGACGAAAGCUGGGGGAGCGAACCGGAUUAGAUACCCGGGUAGUCCCAGCUGUAAACGAUGCGGGCUAGGUGUUGGGGUGGCUACGAGCCACUUCAGUGCCGCAGGGAAGCCAUUAAGCCCGCCGCCUGGGGAGUACGGCCGCAAGGCUGAAACUUAAAGGAAUUGGCGGGGGAGCACCACAAGGCGUGAAGCUUGCGGUUCAAUUGGAGUCAACGCCGGA